rnacentral:rRNA from 1 species
UACGGGGGGGGCAAGCGUUGUUCGGAAUUACUGGGCGUAAAGGGCUCGUAGGUGGCCAACUAAGUCGGACGUGAAAUCCCUCGGCUUAACCGGGGAACUGCGUCCGAUACUGGUUGGUUUGAGUUUGGGAGAGGGAUGCGGAAUUCCAGGUGUAGCGGUGAAAUGCGUAGAUAUCUGGAGGAACACCGGUGGCGAAGGCGGCAUCCUGGACCGGCAUUGACGCUGAGGAGCGAAAGCCAGGGGAGCAAACGGG